GAAGGUGUAGCUCAGGGGUAGAGUGCCUGCUUAGCAUGCACAAGGUCCUGGGUUCAAUCCCCAGUACUUCCA
rnacentral:tRNA from 1 species